rnacentral:misc_RNA from 1 species
GAUGAAGAACGCAGCGAAAUGCGAUAAGUAAUGUGAAUUGCAGAAUUCAGUGAAUCAUCGAAUCUUUGAACGCACCUUGCACUCCUUGGUAUUCCGAGGAGUACGCCUGUUCGAGUGUUAUGAAGCUCUCAAAACGCAAUUGGCUUAAAACCUGAUUGUUGUUUUGGAUUUGAACUUUGCCGUGUUAUAACGGCUGGUUUUAAAAGUAUUAGCUGGUACUAGAACGAAUUGGUUCUACUCAACGUGAUAAUUAUCUGAUCGUUGAGGACAUUCCUUUCUCGAGGAAUGGCCAUAGUAAAUUCAAUGGACUGCUUCUAAUCUGGCUUUAAUUCUUUAUUGGAUUAACCACUUUUCAAAUCUGACCUCGAAUCAGGUGGGACUACCCGCUGAACUUAAGCAUAUCAAUAAGCGGAGGA